rnacentral:lncRNA from 1 species
CUUAAUAAUAUCACUGAUCUCAUCAGAAACUUUUUUUUUUUUGAGAUAGAGUCUCACUCUGUUGCUCAGGCUGGAGUGCAGGGGUGUGUACCUGUAGUUCAAGCUACUCAGGAGGCUGAGGUGAAAGGAUUGAUUGAGGCUGGGAGAUCGAGGCUGCAGUGAGCCAAGAGGGACAAAUAUUGCAUGUUCCCACUCAUAUGUGGGAGCAAAAACAGUGGAUCUUAGAAGACAAAAACUAGAAUGGUA